rnacentral:rRNA from 1 species
GUAGGUGGCAAGCGUUGUCCGGAAUUAUUGGGCGUAAAGCGCGCGCAGGCGGUCCUUUAAGUCUGAUGUGAAAGCCCACGGCUCAACCGUGGAGGGUCAUUGGAAACUGGGGGACUUGAGUACAGAAGAGGAAAGCGGAAUUCCAAGUGUAGCGGUGAAAUGCGUAGAGAUUUGGAGGAACACCAGUGGCGAAGGCGGCUUUCUGGUCUGUAACUGACGCUGAGGCGCGAAAGCGUGGGGAGCAAACAGGGAUUAGAUACCCUGGCAGUCCACGCCGUAAACGAUGAGUGCUAAGUGUUAGGGGGGUUUCCGCCCCCCUUAGUGCUGCAGCUAACGCAUUAAGCACUCCGCCUGGGAGUACGGCCGCAAGGCUG